CACAAACUUGUUGAAUAAUGGCGACCCCUCUCAUGCUCCUCCUCCUCACCAUAGCUAUUCUGUUGAUGAUCCCCUCAUCCUCUGCUCAAUGCAAUCCAAACGACCGGAGUGCGCUCCUUCAGUGGAAAGCAGACUACGGCAACCCUCCCUCCAUGUCCACCUGGACCACCGACACCGACUGCUGCAACUGGAUCUACGUCGACUGUGAAAGUACCGACAGAGUACAAUUCAUCUUCACCUAUUACUCCAAUCUCUCCGGCCCAAUUUCCCAGACCCUCGCCCGGCUCACCAAUCUCACCGCCAUCCGUCUCGACGGCAACGCCUUUACCGGCCCCAUCCCCUCCUUCCUCGCCCGCCUCACCGGCCUCACCUACCUCGACCUUGCCCAUAACCACCUCUCCGGCCCGAUCCCCGCCUUCCUCGGCAACCUCCCCCUCACUCUCCUCACGCUCAACAACAACCGCCUGAGUGGGACUGUCCCCAGCUCUCUCGGUCUGUCAUCAUCUUUGCUCUACCUCCGCCUCUCCCACAACAGACUCGCUGGCUCCAUCCCUGCCACCUUCGCUGGGUCGGGAGUAAAUAUCGUGGAGCUCGACAACAAUAAGUUCACCGGGGAUGCCUCGUUGCUGUUUGGUGCAUCACGGCCGGUGACAGAGCUACAGCUAUCGAGGAAUAGGUUCAAGUUCAAUCUGUCCGCGGUGGAGUUUCCGUUGAAUUUGACUGUGAUGGAUAUUGCGCACAACUUGAUUUAUGGUGGGAUACCGAAGCAGGUGACGGAGUUGAAGCAUUUGAGGUCGUUCAAUGUGAGUUAUAAUCAGCUUUGUGGGGAAAUUCCGAUUACGGGAAGGAUUGGACGGAUUGGGCUGUUUAAGGAGAGUGCUUUUAUUCAUAACAAAUGCCUCUGUGGAUCGCCCCUUCCGGCGUGCAAGUGAGCGGGGAGAUCGUUUGAUUACUCAAAUGCUUAUCUGAAUUUGCUCUGUUGGUGUGUAGACCUUUGUUGUCCAAUAAAUGACUAUCAACUUGUUGUGGGAACUAUGAUU
rnacentral:misc_RNA from 1 species